AGCGAACGCUGGCGGCAGGCCUAACACAUGCAAGUCGAACGAACCCUUCGGGGUUAGUGGCGGACGGGUGAGUAACACGUGGGAACGUGCCUUUAGGUUCGGAACAACUCAGGGAAACUUGUGCUAAUACCGAAUGUGCCCUUCGGGGGAAAGAUUUAUCGCCUUUAGAGCGGCCCGCGUCUGAUUAGCUAGUUGGUGAGGUAAUGGCUCACCAAGGCUACGAUCAGUAGCUGGUCUGAGAGGAUGACCAGCCACAUUGGGACUGAGACACGGCCCAAACUCCUACGGGAGGCAGCAGUGGGGAACCUUGCGCAAUGGGCGAAAGCCUGACGCAGCCAUGCCGCGUGGAUGAUGAAGGUCUUAGGAUUGUAAAAUCCUUUCACCGGUGAAGAUAAUGACUGUAGCCGGAGAAGAAGCCCCGGCUAACUUCGUGCCAGCCGCCGCGGUAACAC
rnacentral:rRNA from 1 species